rnacentral:misc_RNA from 1 species
UCUCCGUUGGUGAACCAGCGGAGGGAUCAUUACCGAGUUUACAACUCCCAAACCCAAUGUGAACCAUAUCACACUGUUGCCUCGGCGGGGUCACGCCCCGGGUGCGUCGCAGCCCCGGAACCAGGCGCCCGCCGGAGGGACCAACCAAACUCUUUCUGUAGUCCCCUCGCGGACGUUAUUUUUACAGCUCUGAGCAAAAAUUCAAAAUGAAUCAAAACUUUCAACAACGGAUCUCUUGGUUCUG